AAACCAUGAUGAGGACACUCUAAGAGGAGUUCUUUGAAACAUUCCAUACAUCAAGAGAAUGAUUCAUUGGGUCUUUGGUGAAACUGAAAAAUGUCGUUCCUAAGCUU
rnacentral:snoRNA from 1 species